GGGAGGCAGCAGUGAGGAAUAUUGGUCAAUGGAGGCAACUCUGAACCAGCCAAGUCGCGUGAAGGAUGAAGGUCUUAUGGAUUGUAAACUUCUUUUGCAAGGGAAUAAAAUGGGGGACGUGUCCUCCUUUGCAUGUACCUUGCGAAUAAGGAUCGGCUAACUCCGUGCCAGCAGCCGCGGUAAUACGGAGGAUCCGAGCGUUAUCCGGAUUUAUUGGGUUUAAAGGGUGCGCAGGCGGGAUGUUAAGUCGGCGGUGAAAUUUUGCAGCUCAACUGUAAAAGUGCCUUCGAUACUGGCUUUCUUGAGUGUGGAUGAAGUAGGCGGAAUUUGUGGUGUAGCGGUGAAAUGCUUAGAUAUCACGCGGAACUCCGAUUGCGCAGGCAGCUUACUAAACCACUACUGACGCUCAUGC
rnacentral:rRNA from 1 species